rnacentral:rRNA from 1 species
UACGAAGGGGGCUAGCGUUGCUCGGAAUCACUGGGCGUAAAGCGCACGUAGGCGGAUUGUUAAGUCAGGGGUGAAAUCCUGGAGCUCAACUCCAGAACUGCCUUUGAUACUGGCGAUCUCGAGUCCGGGAGAGGUGAGUGGAACUCCGAGUGUAGAGGUGAAAUUCGUAGAUAUUCGGAAGAACACCAGUGGCGAAGGCGGCUCACUGGUCCGGUACUGACGCUGAGGUGCGAAAGCGUGGGGAGCAAACAGG